rnacentral:rRNA from 1 species
GUAGGGAAUCUUCGGCAAUGGACGAAAGUCUGACCGAGCAACGCCGCGUGAGUGAAGAAGGUUUUCGGAUCGUAAAACUCUGUUGGUAGAGAAGAACGUUGGUGAGAGUGGAAAGCUCAUCAAGUGACGGUAACUACCCAGAAAGGGACGGCUAACUACGUGCCAGCAGCCGCGGUAAUACGUAGGUCCCGAGCGUUGUCCGGAUUUAUUGGGCGUAAAGCGAGCGCAGACGGUUGAUUAAGUCUGGUGUAAAAGGCAGUGGCUCAACCAUUGUAUGCAUUGGAAACUGGUAGACUUGAGUGCAGGAGAGGAGAGUGGAAUUCCAUGUGUAGCGGUGAAAUGCGUAGAUAUAUGGAGGAACACCGGUGGCGAAAGCGGCUCUCUGGCCUGUAACUGACACUGAGGCUCGAAAGCGUGGGGAGCAAACAGGAUUAGAUACCCUGGUAGUCC